rnacentral:rRNA from 1 species
UACGUAGGUCCCGAGCGUUGUCCGGAUUUAUUGGGCGUAAAGCGAGCGCAGGUGGUUUAUUAAGUCUGGUGUAAAAGGCAGUGGCUCAACCAUUGUAUGCAUUAGAAACUGGUAGACUUGAGUGCAGGAGAGGAGAGUGGAAUUCCAUGUGUAGCGGUGAAAUGCGUAGAUAUAUAGAGGAACACCGGUGGCGAAAGCGGCUCUCUGGCCUGUAACUGACACUGAGGCUCGAAAGCGUGGGGAGCAAACAGG